UACGGAGGGUGCAAACGUUGCUCGGAAUCAUUGGGCGUAAAGCGCACGUAGGCGGUCCGGCAAGUCGGGUGUGAAAUCCCUCGGCUUAACCGAGGAAGUGCAUUCGAAACUACCGGACUUGAAUACUGGAGAGGGUCGCGGAAUUCCCGGUGUAGAGGUGAAAUUCGUAGAUAUUCGGAAGAACACCAGUGGCGAAGGCGACUUACUGGACGAUUGUUGACGCUGAGGUGCGAAAGCGUGGGGAGCAAACAGG
rnacentral:rRNA from 1 species